rnacentral:tRNA from 1 species
CGUGCCGGCCGGCGCGGUUCCGGUCGGCGCGGUUCCGGCCGGCGCGGUUCCGGCCGGCGCGGUUCCGGUCGGCGCGUC